AAUACUUUGUUGUAACAGUUUGAAUGGUAAAAUAAAAUGCAUGGGAUAUUUACCAAUAUCCUCUGGUAUUUAGAAUUCUUGGCUUUUGCUAUAAUACUUAUUGUGUUCUUUUUAUUUAUUUUAUAUUUGGCAAAAAUAAAUUAUUUAGGUUACAAUCUGCGAUACGAUUUGAGAAAAAAAUACAUGGCGGAUGGAACCUGGAUGAGACAGUAAGAAAUGGUUGGCAAGAAAACAGUUGUUACGAUAGAAGAGAUCCCCAGACAAAGAAUUCAGAGAAUCCACGUCCCUGAGCCGAACCAGCGACCUAUCUGUUGCGACCUCGGCUGCAUUUGGUUCUGCCGGAUCAUCGGCGGCAUCACCACCAUCGCCGUCUGCUACUACUGUGCUUACUCCUUCAUCACCGACACUAAGCUCAAGUUUGGCAUAUUUGUACCGUAGAUGUAAGUGAUCUAUAGUAAAUAGUGUAAUCUGACCCAGCUGUUGUUCU